rnacentral:rRNA from 1 species
AUUGAACGCUGGCGGCAGGCCUAACACAUGCAAGUCGAGCGGAGUGGCGAACGGGUGAGUAACACGUGGGUGACCUGCCCUGCACUUCGGGAUAAGCCUGGGAAACUGGGUCUAAUACCGGAUAGUGUGGGGUGGGCCCGCGGCCUAUGAGCUUGUUGGUGGGGUAAUGGCCUACCAAGGCGGUGACGGGUAGCCGGCCUGAGAGGGUGGACGGGCACAUGGGGACUGGGACACGGCCCAGAGUCCUACGGGAGGCAGCAGUGGGGAAUAUUGCACAAUGGGCGGAAGCAUGAUGCAGCGACGCCGCGUGGGGGAUGACGGCCUUCGGGUUGUAAACUCCUUUCACCAUCGACGCGGUAGAUGGAGAAGAAGCACCGGCUAACUACGUGCCAGCAGCCGCGGUAAUAC